UACGAAGGGGGGCUAGCGUUGUUCGGAAUUACUGGGCGUAAAGGGCGCGUAGGCGGUUGCUCAAGUCAGGCGUGAAAGCCCCCGGGUCAACCUGGGAAUAGCGCUUGAGACUGGGCGGCUUGAGUUCGGGAGAGGUGAGUGGAAUUCCCAGUGUAGAGGUGAAAUUCGUAGAUAUUGGGAAGAACACCGGUGGCGAAGGCGGCUCACUGGACCGACACUGACGCUGAGGCGCGAAAAGCGUGGGGGAGCAAACAGG
rnacentral:rRNA from 1 species